GAUUAACGCUGGCGGCGUGCCUAACACAUGCAAGUCGAGCGGCAGCGAGUUUUACACUGAAUUCUGGAAGCUUCUAGUUGAAAGAGAAGAUUUAUUCAAGAAUUUUGUGUAAAAUGUCGGCGAGCGGCGGACGGCUGAGUAACGCGUGGGAACGUACCCCAAAGUGAGGGAUAACGCAUCGAAAGGUGUGCUAAUACCGCAUAUGGUCUUCGGAUUAAAGCCUUCGGGCGCUUUGGGAACGGCCUGCGUAAGAUUAGAUAGUUGGUGGGGUAAUGGCCUACCAAGUCGACGAUCUUUAACUGGUUAGAGAGGAUGAGCAGUCAGACUGGAACUGAGACACGGUCCAGAAUACUACGGGAGGCAGCAGUGAGGAAUCUACCAAAAUGGGCGAAAGCCUGAUGGAGCAACGCCGCGUGAAGGAUGAAGGCCUUAGGGUUGUAAACUGCUUUUAUAAGUGAGGAUUAUGACAGUAACUUAUGAAUAAGGAUCGGCUAACUACGUG
rnacentral:rRNA from 1 species